GAUGAAGAACGUAGCGAAAUGCGAUAAGUAGUGUGAAUUGCAGAAUUCAGUGAAUCAUCGAAUCUUUGAACGCACAUUGCGCCCCUUGGUAUCCCGAGGGGCAUGCCUGUUCGAGCGUCAUUUCACCACUCAAGCCUGGCUUGGUGUUGGGCGACGUCCCCUUUAGGGACGCGCCUCGAAACGCUCGGCGGCGUGGCACCGGCUUUAAGCGUAGCAGAAUCUUUCGCUUUGGAAGUCGGGGCCCCGCCUGCCGGAAUACCUACUCGUAAGGUUGACCUCGGAUCAGGCAGGGAUACCCGCUGAACUUAAGCAUAUCAUAAGCGGAGGA
rnacentral:misc_RNA from 1 species